ACAAUUAUGAAGGUGUUGUCAUAAUACAUGAAGUCUUGCUUGAGAAUGCUCCGGGCACCUGGGUAUGGAAGGAAGAAUGGAAAUUGUAAUAACAGAAUCUUAAUUCUAAUAGAAUAUUAAUAAUGCUCUAAUUAGUCCAUAAUAAUGCUAAGUAAGCUUAAUCAAAUUAAAAAAAAAUCUCAAAGAAAGUUAAAAUAAAUAAUAAGAAUUCUUAAAGAAAUAUUAAAAGGAUCAAAAUAUGACUCAAAUACAUCUCAAUUCAAUCUUAAUUUAAUUCUAGUUAAAUUUCUAUUGAACUUCAUUCAAACUUUAGGCCAAAACUAAUUGAAUCUUAAAUCCUAAUAAAAUCCUAUCUCUUAAAUCAAACCCUAAACAAACUUUAAAUCAAAUCCCAAUCAAAUCCUAAAUCCUAAAUCAAACCCUAACUAAAUCCUAAACCCUAAACCAAAUCCUAAUCCCAACCUUAAAUCCUAAAUAAAACCCUAAUGAAAU
rnacentral:lncRNA from 1 species